UGUCACUACUAUAAUAGAAAUGUUGGUGGAGCACUUAAUGAUGAUAAUUAAUUGAUAAUUCUCAGUAGUCGACACCGGCCUAUGGCCCACGCCCUUUGAAAUAUUCUUGGCCCAAAUACGUUUGCAUAACAUCUUUAUCUUCAUCGCUUAAUCAUAACCGUCCAUCGUACCUCUCUCAACUCUAUAAAUAGACAUGAUAUGGAGGCUAUUUUCCAUCUCAGUUUGUUUUGGUUUAGUUUUUCUUUCUUUUUUGGUGUUUUAAUUUCCUCGGUUCUUGAUCUUUUUUUCCAACUUUUUUGAUUCAGUAUCUGUUAUUGUUUGGUUACUUGCUUUUGGAAUAUUUCAAUAUGGGGUGUAGGUUUUUUAUUUGAUUUUCAAUUCUCUAAUUUCAAGUUAAGGCCGAGAUAAGCAUGCAAGCGGAGGAAUGUUAGGGGUUGUAGGAGUUUGAUUUCUUUCAGUUCACAAUUAGUUCUGUUUUUUCCAAUUUAUGAAUUAUUAAUUAAUAUUGUUGUUUCUUGUCAACAUUGCCAAUGUUUAGGUCUGGGUAAUGAUGAUAGGAGAAGGAGAAUGACUGUAGGAAAUCAUGUUUUAGAUGCUAAAGGUGAAAAAAGGUGUUUUUGGCUACUUUUUGGAGCAUUAUGGAUGUUCGGGAUAUUUUUCGGCUUGAUCAUGAUCAAUGCAUGUUCGAGAAUCAAAGAAGAGCUGAAAAAUUGACUUUCAAAACUUACUAAGUUAAUCCACGGACUGCAGGUAGGACCUACGGACAACAGGAACACAAAGUAGUGCCAGAAGUCCAAAAUCCCAAGAGCUGACUUACAGGAUUUUUCCCUUCUGGUACCUGCGGUCCGUACCUGCAUCCGUGACCAAACUGCAGGUACGGACCACAUGUGGCCACCAGCCCAAUUUUCUCCUAGUUCAUUCGAGCUUUAUUUUUAGGGUUUUCUCAUGUAUUAUAAAUACCCCUUAUGUACCUUUUAGUAGAAGUUACACAGUUUUGGUACUCAAAAACAAAUUUUGAUUCCAAGAUCCGUCUUUGAUCUUGGGAUUCCCUUGUAUUAACUCUACCUGAUUAUUCAGUUCACAGUUGUGGGUUUUUAU